AUAAUAUUGUACACAUCUUUACAACUUUUCAGCUCUUGCAAGUGACAAAUAUAACCAUCCUUUAACGUGCAGCAAUGAAAACCCUACAAGCAACCCUAGUUUUCGCUUCUCUGUGCCUUUAGUUUUACUUUCUUUCCCUCUCUCUUCCCCGAUCUCUUUUCUUGGUCUCGUUGAUUUUUCAAUCACAAUCACGAUCGCAACCCCCCAGAUCUUACUUGAUGAUCUGUUCGAUGAAAUAAUAGCUUGACUGACUAGAAGUGAAAAGGCGAGUAUAUAUAGCGUAGCUGGUCUGAGCGAGAAUUAACAAGGUGGAUCGAAGACAUGGCAAGAGGCCUCUUCCUUUUGAUGUAUCAGAGGAGAAAAAGGAAGAUGAAAUCGCAUCUUCUGUCAACCAGUCAUCUCCUCAGGCACAAGUACUUGAUAGUUCUGCUGCCACCGUGCCUCCAGGAUCUGCUGUCCACGUCACCGCCACCAGCGCCGGCUACCAACUGUCUCAUGGACAAAACACAUCACAACAUACUCAAGAUCAAGGUAAAUUAAUGCAUAUAUUGGUGCUAGUAACUAUGUAGGAUCAUAUAUAUUAAUUCCAGUUUCUUUUACCAAAUUUAGUUGCUUCAGUUUACUAGCUAGUAUUCGGAUCUUUGUCCUUGACAUAUUCUUCCUUUAUGCUCUUAGAAGUGUGUGUAUAAGUUAGAGAAAUGUAUUUAAGUGCAAAGACAUGCUUAUUUGAGGAAUGACUCGAGCUCGGAUGGCGGCUAUUUGAAAAUCACUGCGGUCAAACAAUCCUGCACCAAAAAAGCUUGCAUUAUUGUUGUAUAGUUUUGACCUAAUUUAUGAUAAGAUAAUAUAAAUGUGAAAUUGAUGAUGGAUGAUGAUUUGUAUCUUGAAGGAAACAUCGUAAGAAGAAGACACUAUAGAGGUGUAAGACAAAGACCAUGGGGGAAGUGGGCAGCCGAAAUCCGAGACCCAAAUAAGGCGGCUAGAGUCUGGCUUGGUACUUUUGAAACAGCAGAAGCAGCCGCCGCUGCUUAUGAUGCAGCCGCUCUUAGGUUCAAAGGCAGCAAAGCCAAGCUCAAUUUUCC
rnacentral:lncRNA from 1 species